AGUGAACGCUGGCGGUAGGCCUAACACAUGCAAGUCGAACGGCAGCACAGUAAGAGCUUGCUCUUACGGGUGGCGAGUGGCGGACGGGUGAGGAAUACAUCGGAAUCUACUUUUUCGUGGGGGAUAACGUAGGGAAACUUACGCUAAUACCGCAUACGACCUACGGGUGAAAGCAGGGGAUCUUCGGACCUUGCGCGAUUGAAUGAGCCGAUGUCGGACUAGCUAGUUGGCGGGGUAAAGGCCCACCAAGGCGACGAUCCGUAGCUGGUCUGAGAGGAUGAUCAGCCACGCUGGAACUGAGACGCGGUCCAGGCUCCUACGGGAGGCAGCAGUGGGGAAUAUUGGACAAUGGGCGGAAGCCUGAUCCAGCCAUACCGCGUGGGUGAAGAAGGCCUUCGGGUUGUAAAGCCCUUUUGUUGGGAAAGAAAAGCAGCAGGUUAAUACCCCGCUGUCCUGACGGUACCCAAAGAAUAAGCACCGGCGAACUUCGU
rnacentral:rRNA from 1 species